ACGGAAGGCAGCAGUGAGGAAUAUUGGUCAAUGGACGGAAGUCUGAACCAGCCAAGUCGCGUGAAGGAUGAAGGUAUUAUGUAUUGUAAACUUCUUUAGCAGUGGAGUAAUAAGGUGGUCGAGACCACUGGUGCAAGUACACUGAGAAUAAGGAUCGGCUAACUCCGUGCCAGCAGCCGCGGUAAUACGGAGGAUCCGAGCGUUAUCCGGAUUUAUUGGGUUUAAAGGGUGCGCAGGCGGCUUUUUAAGUCAGUGGUUAAAUCGUGACGCUCAACGUCAUCACGCCAUUGAUACUGGAGAGCUUGAUUGCGGUCGAGGUUUGCGGAAUUCGUUGUGUAGCGGUGAAAUGCAUAGAUAUGACGAAGAACACCGAUUGCGUAGGCAGCAGACCAGGCCGUAAAUGACGCUCAUGCACGAAAGUGCGGGGAUCGAACAGGAUUAGAUACCCUGGUA
rnacentral:rRNA from 1 species